GUCUUGUAAUUGGAAUGAUGGUGACCCAAACCCUCACCAGAGUAGCAAUUGGAGGGCGAGUCUGGUGCCAGCAGCCGCGGUAAUUCCAGCUCCAAUAGCGUAUAUUAAACUUGUUGCAGUUAAAAAGCUCGUAGUUGAAUUUUAGCGUGUUCGAGUUUGCCAUUCGUUUGGCUUUUUCGAGUUCGCUUUUGGGUUUUCCCUUUUUACUUUGAGAAAAUUAGAGUGUUUCAAGCAGACUUUUGUCUUGAAUACUUCAGCAUGGAAUAAUAGAGUAGGACUUUGGUUCUAUUUUGUUGGUUAUUGAACCUUAGUAAUGGUUAAUAGGAACGGUUGGGGGCAUUCGUAUUUAACUGUCAGAGGUGAAAUUCUUAGAUUUGUUAAAGACGAACUACUGCGAAAGCAUUUGCCAAGGACGUUUCCAUUAAUCAAGAACGAAAGUUAGGGGAUCGAAGACGAUCAGAUACCGUCGUAGUCCUAACCAUAAACCAUGCCGACUAGUGAUUGGAGGUCGUCGUUUUGCUGACCCCUUCAGGAACUUGAGAGAAAUCAAAGUCUUUGG
rnacentral:rRNA from 1 species